rnacentral:rRNA from 1 species
AGUGAACGCUGGCGGUAGGCCUAGCACAUGCAAGUCGAACGGCAGCACAAGAGAGCUUGCUCUCUGGGUGGCGAGUGGCGGACGGGUGAGGAAUACAUCGGAAUCUACUUUUUCGUGGGGGAUAACGUAGGGAAACUUACGCUAAUACCGCAUACGACCUACGGGUGAAAGCAGGGGAUCUUCGGACCUUGCGCGAUUGAAUGAGCCGAUGUCGGAUUAGCUAGUUGGCGGGGUAAAGGCCCACCAAGGCGACGAUCCGUAGCUGGUCUGAGAGGAUGAUCAGCCACACUGGAACUGAGACACGGUCCAGACUCCUACGGGAGGCAGCAGUGGGGAAUAUUGGACAAUGGGCGCAAGCCUGAUCCAGCCAUACCGCGUGGGUGAAGAAGGCCUUCGGGUUGUAAAGCCCUUUUGUUGGGAAAGAAAUCCAGCUGGUUAAUACCCGGUUGGGAUGACGGUACCCAAAGAAUAAGCCCCGGCUAACUUCGUGCCAGCAGCCGCGGUAA